rnacentral:rRNA from 1 species
GAUGAACGCUGGCGGCGUGCCUAAUACAUGCAAGUCGAGCGAACGGACGAGAAGCUUGCUUUUCUGAUGUUAGCGGCGGACGGGUGAGUAACACGUGGAUAACCUACAUAUAAGACUGGGAUAACUUCGGGAAACCGGAGCUAAUACCGGAUAAUAUUUUGCACCGCAUGGUUCAAAAGUGACAGACGGUCUUGCUGUCACUUAUAGAUGGAUCCGCGCUGCAUUAGAUAGUUGGUAAGGUAAGGGCUUACCAAGGCAAGGAGGAAUAGCCAACCUAGGGGGUGGUCCGGCCACACUGCAACUGGAACACGGUCCAGACUCCUACGGGGGGCCGCAGUAGGCAACUUUCCGCAAUGGGCGAAAGCCUUACUGAGCAACGCCCCGUGGGUUGUGAGGGCCUUCGGAUCGUAAAACUCUGUUAUUAGGGAACAACAUAUUUGUUAGUAACUGAGCACAUCUUGACGGUACCUAAUCAGAAAGCCUCGGCUAACUACGUG